rnacentral:rRNA from 1 species
GAUGAACGCUGGCGGCGUGCCUAACACAUGCCAGUCGAGCGAAGCACUUACUUUAGAUUUCUUCGGAAUGACGAAGUUUGUGACUGAGCGGCGGACGGGUGAGUAACGCGUGGGCAACCUGCCCUGUACAGGGGGAUAACAGUUAGAAAUGACUGCUAAUACCGCAUAAGCCCACAGCUUCGCAUGAAGCAGUGGGAAAAACUCCGGUGGUACAGGAUGGGCCCGCGUCUGAUUAGCUAGUUGGUAAGGUAACGGCUUACCAAGGCGACGAUCAGUAGCCGACCUGAGAGGGUGACCGGCCACAUUGGGACUGAGACACGGCCCAAACUCCUACGGGAGGCAGCAGUGGGGAAUAUUGCACAAUGGGGGAAACCCUGAUGCAGCGACGCCGCGUGAGCGAUGAAGUAUUUCGGUAUGUAAAGCUCUAUCAGCAGGGAAGAAAGUGACGGUACCUGACUAAGAAGCCCCGGCUAACUACGUG